rnacentral:rRNA from 1 species
AUUGAACGCUGGCGGCAGGCCUAACACAUGCAAGUCGAGCGGAUGAAGGGAGCUUGCUCCUGGAUUCAGCGGCGGACGGGUGAGUAAUGCCUAGGAAUCUGCCUGGUAGUGGGGGAUAACGUCCGGAAACGGGCGCUAAUACCGCAUACGUCCUGAGGGAGAAAGUGGGGGAUCUUCGGACCUCACGCUAUCUGAUGAGCCUAGGUCGGAUUAGCUAGUUGGAUGGGUAAAGGCCUACCAAGGCGACGAUCCGUAACUGGUCUGAGAGGAUGAUCAGUCACACUGGAACUGAGACACGGUCCAGACUCCUACGGGAGGCAGCAGUGGGGAAUAUUGGACAAUGGGCGAAAGCCUGAUCCAGCCAUGCCGCGUGUGUGAAGAAGGUCUUCGGAUUGUAAAGCACUUUAAGUUGGGAGGAAGGGCAGUAAGUUAAUACCUGGCUGUUUUGACGUUACCAACAGAAUAAGCACCGGCUAACUUCGUG